rnacentral:rRNA from 1 species
GUGAGGAAUAUUGCGCAAUGGAGGCAACUCUGACGCAGCCACGCCGCGUGCAGGAAGAAGGCGCUACGCGUUGUAAACUGCUUUUAACCGGGAAGAAACCCCAGGACGUGUCCUGGGUUGACGGUACCGGAGGAAUAAGCACCGGCUAACUUCGUGCCAGCAGCCGCGGUAAUACGAAGGGUGCAAGCGUUAUCCGGAUUCAUUGGGUUUAAAGGGUGCGUAGGCGGGGCGUUAAGUCAGUGGUGAAAUCCUGCAGCUCAACUGUAGACUUGCCAUUGAUACUGGCGCUCUUGAGUGCGCUUGAAGUAGGCGGAAUGUGCCGUGUAGCGGUGAAAUGCUUAGAUAUGGCACAGAACACCAAUUGCGAAGGCAGCUUACUAAGGCGAUACUGACGCUGAGGCACGAAAGCGUGGGGAUCGAACAGGAUUAGAAACCCUUGUAGUCC